UACGGAGGAUCCAAGCGUUAUCCGGAUUUAUUGGGUUUAAAGGGUGCGUAGGCGGCUUAUUAAGUCAGGGGUGAAAGACGGUGGCUCAACCAUCGCAGUGCCCUUGAUACUGAUGAGCUUGAAUACACUUGAGGUAGGCGGAAUGUGACAAGUAGCGGUGAAAUGCAUAGAUAUGUCACAGAACACCAAUUGCGAAGGCAGCUUACUAAGGUGCUAUUGACGCUGAGGCACGAAAGCGUGGGGAUCAAACAGG
rnacentral:rRNA from 1 species